UACGUAGGGUGCAAGCGUUAAUCGGAAUUACUGGGCGUAAAGCGUGCGCAGGCGGUUAUGUAAGACAGGUGUGAAAUCCCCGGGCUUAACCUGGGGAACUGCAUUUGUGACUGCAUAGCUAGAGUACGGUAGAGGGGGAUGGAAUUCCGCGUGUAGCAGUGAAAUGCGUAGAUAUGCGGAGGAACACCGAUGGCGAAGGCAAUCCCCCUGGACCUGUACUGACGCUCAUGCACGAAAGCGUGGGGGAGCAAACAGG
rnacentral:rRNA from 1 species